GCAGACCCUCCCUCCCAGACCCUCCUACUUCCUGGACAGCAUCCAUGGAAGUAGGAAGUAGGAGGGUCUGGGAGGGAGGGUCUGCUAGAGAU